UAACACAUGCAAGUCGAGCGGGGAUUGGGUGCUUGCACCUAAUCUUAGCGGCGGACGGGUGAGUAAUGCUUAGGAAUCUGCCAUUUAGUGGGGGACAACAUUCCGAAAGGGAUGCUAAUACUGCAUACGUCCUACGGGAGAAAGCAGGGGAUCUUCGGACCUUGCGCUAAAUGAUGAGCCUAAGUCGGAUUAGCUAGUUGGUGGGGUAAAGGCCUACCAAGGCGACGAUCUGUAGCGGGUCUGAGAGGAUGAUCCGCCACACUGGGACUGAGACACGGCCCAGACUCCUACGGGAGGCAGCAGUGGGGAAUAUUGGACAAUGGGCGCAAGCCUGAUCCAGCCAUGCCGCGUGUGUGAAGAAGGCCUUUUGGUUGUAAAGAACUUUAAGCGAGGAGGAGGCUACCUGGAUUAAUACUCUAGGAUAGUGGACGUUACUCGCAGAAUAAGCACCGGCUAACUCUGUGCCAGCAGCCGCGGUAAUACAGAGGGUGCGAGCGUUAAUCGGAUUUACUGGGCGUAAAGCGUGCGUAGGCGGCUGAUUAAGUCGGAUGUGAAAUCCCUGAGCUUAACUUAGGAAUUGCAUUCGAUACUGGUCAGCUAGAGUAUGGGAGAGGAUGGUAGAAUUCCAGGUGUAGCGGUGAAAUGCGUAGAGAUCUGGAGGAAUACCGAUGGCGAAGCAGCCAUCUGGCCUAAUACUGACGCUGAGGUACGAAAGCAUGGGGAGCAAACAGGAUUAGAUACCCUGGUAGUCCAUGCCGUAAACGAUGUCUACUAGCCGUUGGGGCCUUUGAGGCUUUAGUGGCGCAGCUAACGCGAUAAGUAGACCGCCUGGGGAGUACGGUCGCAAGACUAAAACUCAAAUGAAUUGACGGGGGCCCGCACAAGCGGUGGAGCAUGUGGUUUAAUUCGAUGCAACGCGAAGAACCUUACCUGGCCUUGACGUAGUAGAAACUUUCCAGAGAUGGAUUGGUGCCUUCGGGAAUCCACAUACAGGUGCUGCAUGGCUGUCGUCAGCUCGUGUCGUGAGAUGUUGGGUUAAGUCCCACAACGAGCGCAACCCUUUUCCUUACUUGCCAGCAUUUCGGAUGGGAACUUUAAGGAUACUGCCAGUGACAAACUGGAGGAAGGCGGGGACGACGUCAAGUCAUCAUGGCCCUUACGGCCAGGGCUACACACGUGCUACAAUGGUCGGUACAAAGGGUUGCUACCUAGCGAUAGGAUGCUAAUCUCAAAAAGCCGAUCGUAGUCCGGAUCGCAGUCUGCAACUCGACUGCGUGAAGUCGGGAUCGCUAGUAAUCGCGGAUCAGAAUGCCGCGGUGAAUACGUUCCCGGGCCUUGUACACACCGCCCGUCACACCAUGGGAGUUUGUUGCACCAGAAGUAGGUAGUCUAACCUUGGGGGGGACGCUUACCACGGUGUGGCCGAUGACUGGGGUG
rnacentral:rRNA from 1 species